rnacentral:tRNA from 1 species
GCUCAGUUGGUUAAGUGUGUGACUCUUGAUCUCAGCUCAAGUCUUGACCUCAGGAUCACGAGUUCAAGCCUUGUUCUGAGCU